CGCUGGCGGCAGGCCUAAUACAUGCAAGUCGAGCGCGCCCUUCGGGGUGAGCGGCGGACGGGUGAGUAACGCGUGGGAAUAUGCCCUUCUCUAAGGAAUAGCCUCUGGAAACGGAGAGUAAUACCUUAUACGCCCUUUGGGGGAAAGAUUUAUCGGAGAAGGAUUAGCCCGCGUUAGAUUAGGUAGUUGGUGGGGUAAUGGCCUACCAAGCCUACGAUCUAUAGCUGGUUUGAGAGGAUGAUCAGCCACACUGGGACUGAGACACGGCCCAGACUCCUACGGGAGGCAGCAGUAGGGAAUCUUAGACAAUGGGGGCAACCCUGAUCUAGCCAUGCCGCGUGUGUGAUGAAGGCCCUAGGGUCGUAAAGCACUUUCGCCAGAGAUGAUAAUGACAGUAUCUGGUAAAGAAACCCCGGCUAACUCCGUGCCAGCAGCCGCGGUAAUACGGAGGGGGUUAGCGUUGUUCGGAAUUACUGGGCGUAAAGCGCACGUAGGCGGAUUAGUAAGUUAGAGGUGAAAUCCCAGGGCUCAACCCUGGAACUGCCUUUAAUACUGCUAGUCUUGAGUUCGAGAGAGGUAAGUGGAAUUCCGAGUGUAGAGGUGAAAUUCGUAGAUAUUCGGAGGAACACCAGUGGCGAAGGCGGCUUACUGGCUCGAUACUGACGCUGAGGUGCGAAAGUGUGGGGAGCAAACAGGAUUAGAUACCCUGGUAGUCCACACCGUAAACGAUGAAUGCCAGACGUCAGCAAGUAUACUUGUUGGUGUCACACCUAACGGAUUAAGC
rnacentral:rRNA from 1 species